rnacentral:rRNA from 1 species
GAUGAACGCUGGCGGCGUGCCUAAUACAUGCAAGUCGAGCGAACAGACGAGGAGCUUGCUCCUCUGACGUUAGCGGCGGACGGGUGAGUAACACGUGGAUAACCUACCUAUAAGACUGGGAUAACUUCGGGAAACCGGAGCUAAUACCGGAUAAUAUAUUGAACCGCAUGGUUCAAUAGUGAAAGACGGUUUUGCUGUCACUUAUAGAUGGAUCCGCGCCGCAUUAGCUAGUUGGUAAGGUAACGGCUUACCAAGGCGACGAUGCGUAGCCGACCUGAGAGGGUGAUUGGCCACACUGGAACUGAGACACGGUCCAGACUCCUACGGGAGGCAGCAGUAGGGAAUCUUCCGCAAUGGGCGAAAGCCUGACGGAGCAACGCCGCGUGAGUGAUGAAGGUCUUCGGAUCGUAAAACUCUGUUAUUAGGGAAGAACAAAUGUGUAAGAAACUAUGCACGUCUUGACGGUACCUAAUCAGAAAGCCACGGCUAACUACGUG